UCUCCGUAGGUGAACCUGCGGAGGGAUCAUUACAGAGUUCUCGCCCUCACGGGUAGAUCUCCCACCCACUGUUAUCGUUACUGUCGUUUCUUUGGCGGGCCGCCGGGUCCCCGGCCGCCGGCGCCUAGCUGCCGGCGCGCGCCCGCCAGAGGCCUUCAAACUCCGUAUGUUAGUGUCGUCUGAGUACUAUAUAAUAGUUAAAACUUUCAACAACGGAUCUCUUGGUUCUG
rnacentral:misc_RNA from 1 species